AUGGGUCUUGCCCCUGCUUUGUUCACACGUAGCUUUAGACAAGGCCCACCAAACCUUGGAGGCACACAGUCCAGAAUAACCUUGGGGCUGCGCCCUCGUGUUAGUCAUAUGAUUUGGGGUGAAUUAACAAGGACUCCAAGCCUCAGUUUCCUCAUGUGCACGGGAGAAUGCCAGCGCGCCAAGUCCUCCCGUGAGAGUAGGUGCCAACAUGAAGGCUGCCCGCUCCUCCUCUCGCCGCCCAAAUCCACCCCUCCACCCCCUCACACAGGGCGGCCAAUCGGCCAGGGGCAUCCCAGAGAUCCUUCUCGGGAAGGCCAUGUUCCCAGGGAACAGAGCAGGGGAAGCCACUGCCUCUUGCCUGGUACAGUCUGGAGAAGCUGGAUUGCCGGCUUUCCUGCCUGGGGCGUGAAAGCCCAGCCCUGCGCCGGGCAAGAGAAGCACCCGGUGCAGCCAACAGCCGCAUGUGGGUGCUGGAAAAACACUCCUUCUUCACCUGGGCUGCUCUCACCUGGGCAGGCAGCGGUGUGUGGUAAAGCACCCAGUUCCAGGAACACGCUGAUGGAGCCAUGGAAAUCCAGAGGGUGGAAGCAGCCCGAAGCUUACAAGGCACUGACUUAUAAGAUCAGAGCAAUAAAACUGGGUGCAGUCUGUCCCACGCUGGCAGACAUGGCCCCGGGGGGGUGGAAGGAGAGCAGGGGGUGGGCAGGGGGAGUAGUCGAACCUUCCAGCGUCUGUCAACAAGUGGGUUGCUGCCAGGGAGUGGUUCGGGACAUGGCCAAGGUCAUGCUGGGAACAGAGGACAUCAGGCCUGAUUCUGCCUGCUGGGAGAGCCCGUGCUUGGUAGCCCGGCCUGCCCCAGGCCCAGGCAAGCAGGUCCAUGGGGCUGCUCAGGGCUGGGGCCAGGUCACCUGGAUGCUGGUCCCCCCUCCCCCGGCAGUGAGGGCUGUGUCUCUGGGCUUCUGCUUCUUCUCCGGUGGCCCUAGAGAACCUGCCCAUCCUGCGAGCCUGUGA
rnacentral:lncRNA from 1 species